rnacentral:piRNA from 1 species
UGGUACUUUGGACUUAACCGAAGGGC